GUUAUAUGGUCAAGUGAAGAAGCGCAUACGGUGGAUGCCUUGGCAGUCAGAGGCGAUGAAAGACGUGGUAGCCUGCGAAAAGCUUCGGGGAGUCGGCAAACAGACUUUGAUCCGGAGAUCUCUGAAUGGGGGAACCCACCUAGGAUAACCUAGGUAUCUUGUACUGAAUCCAUAGGUGCAAGAGGCGAACCAGGGGAACUGAAACAUCUAAGUACCCUGAGGAAAAGAAAUCAACCGAGAUUCCCUUAGUAGUGGCGAGCGAACGGGGAUUAGCCCUUAAGCUUCAUUGAUUUUAGCGGAACGCUCUGGAAAGUGCGGCCAUAGUGGGUGAUAGCCCCGUACGCGAAAGGAUCUUUGAAGUGAAAUCGAGUAGGACGGAGCACGAGAAACUUUGUCUGAACAUGGGGGGACCAUCCUCCAAGGCUAAAUACUACUGACUGACCGAUAGUGAACCAGUACCGUGAGGGAAAGGCGAAAAGAACCCCGGAGAGGGGAGUGAAAUAGAACCUGAAACCGUAUGCGUACAAGCAGUGGGAGCCUACUUGUUAGGUGACUGCGUACCUUUUGUAUAAUGGGUCAGCGACUUAUAUUCAGUGGCAAGCUUAACCGUAUAGGGUAGGCGUAGCGAAAGCGAGUCUUAAUAGGGCGUUUAGUCGCUGGGUAUAGACCCGAAACCGGGCGAUCUAUCCAUGAGCAGGUUGAAGGUUAGGUAACACUGACUGGAGGACCGAACCCACUCCCGUUGAAAAGGUAGGGGAUGACUUGUGGAUCGGAGUGAAAGGCUAAUCAAGCUCGGAGAUAGCUGGUUCUCCUCGAAAGCUAUUUAGGUAGCGCCUCAUGUAUCACUCUGGGGGGUAGAGCACUGUUUCGGCUAGGGGGUCAUCCCGACUUACCAAACCGAUGCAAACUCCGAAUACCCAGAAGUGCCGAGCAUGGGAGACACACGGCGGGUGCUAACGUCCGUCGUGAAAAGGGAAACAACCCAGACCGCCAGCUAAGGUCCCAAAGUUGUGGUUAAGUGGUAAACGAUGUGGGAAGGCUUAGACAGCUAGGAGGUUGGCUUAGAAGCAGCCACCCUUUAAAGAAAGCGUAAUAGCUCACUAGUCGAGUCGGCCUGCGCGGAAGAUGUAACGGGGCUCAAACCACACACCGAAGCUGCGGGUGUCACGUAAGUGACGCGGUAGAGGAGCGUUCUGUAAGCCUGUGAAGGUGAGUUGAGAAGCUUGCUGGAGGUAUCAGAAGUGCGAAUGCUGACAUGAGUAACGACAAUGGGUGUGAAAAACACCCACGCCGAAAGACCAAGGGUUCCUGCGCAACGUUAAUCGACGCAGGGUUAGUCGGUUCCUAAGGCGAGGCUGAAAAGCGUAGUCGAUGGGAAACAGGUUAAUAUUCCUGUACUUCUGGUUACUGCGAUGGAGGGACGGAGAAGGCUAGGCCAGCUUGGCGUUGGUUGUCCAAGUUUAAGGUGGUAGGCUGAAAUCUUAGGUAAAUCCGGGGUUUCAAGGCCGAGAGCUGAUGACGAGUCGUCUUUUAGAUGACGAAGUGGUUGAUGCCAUGCUUCCAAGAAAAGCUUCUAAGCUUCAGGUAACCAGGAACCGUACCCCAAACCGACACAGGUGGUCGGGUAGAGAAUACCAAGGCGCUUGAGAGAACUCGGGUGAAGGAACUAGGCAAAAUGGCACCGUAACUUCGGGAGAAGGUGCGCCGGCUAGGGUGAAGGAUUUACUCCGUAAGCUCUGGCUGGUCGAAGAUACCAGGCCGCUGCGACUGUUUAUUAAAAACACAGCACUCUGCAAACACGAAAGUGGACGUAUAGGGUGUGACGCCUGCCCGGUGCCGGAAGGUUAAUUGAUGGGGUUAGCGCAAGCGAAGCUCUUGAUCGAAGCCCCGGUAAACGGCGGCCGUAACUAUAACGGUCCUAAGGUAGCGAAAUUCCUUGUCGGGUAAGUUCCGACCUGCACGAAUGGCGUAACGAUGGCGGCGCUGUCUCCACCCGAGACUCAGUGAAAUUGAAAUCGCUGUGAAGAUGCAGUGUAUCCGCGGCUAGACGGAAAGACCCCGUGAACCUUUACUGUAGCUUUGCACUGGACUUUGAGCCUGCUUGUGUAGGAUAGGUGGGAGGCUUUGAAGCGUGGACGCCAGUUCGCGUGGAGCCAUCCUUGAAAUACCACCCUGGCAUGCUUGAGGUUCUAACUCUGGUCCGUAAUCCGGAUCGAGGACAGUGUAUGGUGGGCAGUUUGACUGGGGCGGUCUCCUCCUAAAGAGUAACGGAGGAGUACGAAGGUGCGCUCAGACCGGUCGGAAAUCGGUCGCAGAGUAUAAAGGCAAAAGCGCGCUUGACUGCGAGACAGACACGUCGAGCAGGUACGAAAGUAGGUCUUAGUGAUCCGGUGGUUCUGUAUGGAAGGGCCAUCGCUCAACGGAUAAAAGGUACUCCGGGGAUAACAGGCUGAUACCGCCCAAGAGUUCAUAUCGACGGCGGUGUUUGGCACCUCGAUGUCGGCUCAUCACAUCCUGGGGCUGAAGCCGGUCCCAAGGGUAUGGCUGUUCGCCAUUUAAAGUGGUACGCGAGCUGGGUUUAGAACGUCGUGAGACAGUUCGGUCCCUAUCUGCCGUGGACGUUUGAGAUUUGAGAGGGGCUGCUCCUAGUACGAGAGGACCGGAGUGGACGAACCUCUGGUGUUCCGGUUGUCACGCCAGUGGCAUUGCCGGGUAGCUAUGUUCGGAAAAGAUAACCGCUGAAAGCAUCUAAGCGGGAAACUUGCCUCAAGAUGAGAUCUCACUGGAACUUGAUUCCCCUGAAGGGCCGUCGAAGACUACGACGUUGAUAGGCUGGGUGUGUAAGCGUUGUGAGGCGUUGAGCUAACCAGUACUAAUUGCCCGUGAGGCUUGACCAUAUAACACCCAAACA
rnacentral:rRNA from 1 species